AGCUGGCGGCAGGCCUAACACAUGCAAGGUCGAGCGCUCAUUCGGAGGGAGCGGCGGACGGGUUAGUAACGCGUAGGAAUGUACCCUUCUCUACGGAAUAGCCAUUGGAACGAUGAGUAAUACCGUAUACGCCCCCUGGGUCAAACUGGGGGGGAAAGAUUUAUCGGAGAGGGAUCAGCCCGCGUAAGAUUAGAUAGUUGGUGGGGUAAUGGCCUAGCAAGUCUACGAUCUUUAGCUGGUUUUAGAGGAUGAUCAGCAACACUGGGACUGAGACACGGCCCAGACUCCUACGGGAGGCAGCAGUGGGGAAUCUUGGACAAUGGGCGCAAGCCUGAUCCAGCCAUGCCGCGUGUGUGAUGAAGGCCCUAGGGUCGUAAAGCACUUUCGCCAGAGAUGAUAAUGACAGUAUCUGGCAAAGAAGUCCCGGCUAACUCCGUGCCAGCAGCCGCGGUAAUACGGAGGGGACUAGCGUUGUUCGGAAUUACUGGGCGUAAGGCGUACGUAGGCGGAUCAGAAAGUAUGGGGUGAAAUCCCAGGGCUCAACCCUGGAACUGCCUCAUAAACUCCUGGUCUUGAGUUCGAGAGAGGUGAGUGGAAUCCAAGUGUAGAGGUGAAAUGCGUAGAUAUUAGAAGGAAUACCAGUGGCGAAGGCGGCCCCCUAGACCAAUAUUGACGCUGAGGUACGAAAGCGUGGGUAGCGAACAGGAGUUAGAUACCCUGGUAGUCCACGCCGUAAACGAUGUCAACUAGCCGUUGGGACCUUGAGGUCUCAGUGGUGCCAGCUAACGCUAAGUUGACCGCCUGGGGAGUACGCCGCAAGUCAAAACUACAAAUGAAUCGAACGG
rnacentral:rRNA from 1 species